rnacentral:lncRNA from 1 species
GACUAAAACCCUAGGGGCGUUCUUCUUCUUCCUUAACAAGACAUAACAAAAAACCCUGCACCUUGAACACCAGACAACAAUGGAAAACAUGCCCUAGAACCCUAGCUACUUCAUCUUCUUCUUCAUGCACACAACAACAAAUUUCCCAAGGACACCUCUAAGCCGCCAGCCCCUCCACCCUUCUUACAUAUUCAGCCGUUCAUCAACAUAGAACAGUAAAAAAACUAGUCCACGUCGUCGACCAGCUAUAGCUAGCAGCCAUUGUUCAACACACGGCCCCUUCUCCCUGGAACUUCGUCUUCCCCAUCGCACCCCAGUCCCUCCUCUCAAAAGCUGCUGCUUCUUCACCUUCUCACUACUCACACACGUGCACAUCAUCAGAAACAAGGACGAACGGCAAAGAGAGGAAAAGGGAGGGCAAACAGAACCGAAGAAAAAGCUCACCAGAGUUUGGCUAGAAACUUUCAGAUCUGACAGUGAAGUUUUGAACGCCGUUCUGUUUGGGUUUGAGUUCCAGCGACCAAUACCCUUUUUUGGCGACUACCAUUCAAAACGGCAGACCUCUUUCUCUAUACCUUUGUUUUUUCAUUCACGUAUAAACAAUAUGAGUUAUAAAAAGUACUUUGUUUAGUUGAUUGGAAUUAGGCGGGUUUGGCCGGAUUUGCCAUUUUUCCGACGGACUCCAUUAAGCUUGGUUGAAAACCCGCCGAGAUACUGUUGAAAACCAGCCUCCCAUUUGUCACAAAAUAGCCCCAUAGUUAGUUGC